AGAUUGAACGCUGGCGGCAGGCCUAACACAUGCAAGUCGAGCGGUAGAGAGGUGCUUGCAUCUCUUGAGAGCGGCGGACGGGUGAGUAAUGCCUAGGAAUCUGCCUAGUGGUGGGGGAUAACGUUCGGAAACGGACGCUAAUACCGCAUACGUCCUACGGGAGAAAGCGGGGGACCUUCGGGCCUCGCGCCAUUAGAUGAGCCUAGGUCGGAUUAGCUAGUUGGUGAGG
rnacentral:rRNA from 1 species